AAACAUCUUUUCUUGUUAGUUUCUGAAGUAUGGCCUGCCCGCUGACGUAUAUUUGAGUUGAAGGGCCGCGGUAUUCUGACCGUGCAAAGGUAGCAUAGUCAUUAGUUCUUUAAUUGUGAUCUGGUAUGAAUGGCUUGACGAGACAUGGGCUGUCUUGAGUGUGAAUUUAUUGUUGAAUUUGGAGUUUAAGUUAAAAUUCUUAGAUGUUUUUAUGGGACGAGAAGACCCUAUAGAGUUUGACACGAUUUGCGUAUUUCUUAUUGUUUGUUUUAAAAUUUUGCGUGUCUUGUGUUUUGUUGGGGUGAUGGGAGGAAUUUAUUUAACUCCUCUUUUUAUGCGAUAUAUUGAUUUGUAUUCGUUUUGAUCCAUUUAUUUUGAUUGUAAGAUUAAAUUACCUUAGGGAUAACAGCGUUAUCUUCCCUGAGAGUUCUUAUUGGCGGGGGGGUUUGCGACCUCGAUGUUGGAUUAAGGUUAAUUUUUGGUGUAGGAGC
rnacentral:rRNA from 1 species